rnacentral:rRNA from 1 species
GAACGAGAAAGUGGAGCAAUCCAUGAGUAAAGUGGCGACCGGGUGAGUAACACGUGACUAAUCUACCCUCGAGUGGGGAAUAACCUCGGGAAACCGGGGCUAAUACCGCAUAACGUCUUCGGACCAAAGGAGCAAUUCGCUUGAGGAGGGGGUCGCGGCCGAUUAGCUAGUUGGUGGGGUAACGGCCCACCAAGGCAAUGAUCGGUAGCCGGCCUGAGAGGGCGCACGGCCACACUGGAACUGAAACACGGUCCAGACUCCUACGGGAGGCAGCAGUGGGGAAUUUUGCGCAAUGGGGGAAACCCUGACGCAGCAACGCCGCGUGGAGGAUGAAGGCCCUUGGGCUGUAAACUCCUUUCGAUCGGGACGAUAAUGACGGUACCGGAUGAAGAAGCACCGGCUAACUCUGUG